AUUAUCUAUUACUUGAUACCAGUCCCAUGAAAAGUUCCAAAUUUGGCAUUUUCAAAGAGGAAUGCCCUCCACCCUAUAAUCUACAUCAACUGUAGUUAUAACAGCGGUAGAUCAUAUAGUGAAAUAAACAGUGUCAUUUCUCUCAAGCUGCACGACAUUGGAGAUUAUGAGAAUUGUGGUGCCAGCUGUUGUAUGAAUGGGUUCUACUAUAGUCAAUACUAGUCCAACAUGUAGUAGCAAUGCUCAGAAGCUGUCCUUGUUGACAGAAAGGCAUAUCUAUCUACUGGUAAUCCAACUUUUGCCAUGCUUUUCCCUUGUGGAUGUUGCCUAUGAUGAUGUUUUAGUACUUAUGACAUGAAGUGUGAAUUAAGAAGUGCUAUGAUGAUCUCAGAGGUCGCAGCUAUAUGCCAGAGGGAAGCCAUGAGGAAUAGCCCAGUCCAGGCAGUGAUGCCUGCCCACCUGAGACUGAACUAAGGGCUUAUCAAACUCCCAGGGAAUACGAUAGUACAGCAGUAAUUGCCUGGUGGUGUCUGUGAAGGAUUGAGGGCCUGGGAAGACAGGAUAUUGUGCUGUGAUAAAAACGUAAUGAAAUCUACAGACAGGAGCAAGACGGACAAAAGGUUCCAAGCAAUUUUUCUCGGGACGGAAUACGCAAUGUAGUAAAGUGUAGUUACAAAAUAUGAUACAAAUUGACUUUUAUGUUAAACUCUUUUGUGUGCUGACAGUAAUUUCUCCAGCAUCUUUCCAAGAUUUUUGCUAAUUUAAUCUCUUUUCUAUUCUAUUAUUUACUUUACAUAUUGGGAUGUCAAAUUUUACUGAAUUGUAGGUAUCGAAAUUAGGUUUUUCUGACAUCCUACUUUAUUCUAUGUGGUGCACCCUAAAUUUUUUGGUGCACCCAAUUUUUUGCACAAGUUCA